GAACUGCGAAAAGUAAUGUGACCUGCAACCUUUGCGAAACAUCCAAUCUUUGAACGCAACAUGCACCAGCAUCUGUGCUGGUAUACUUGUUUGAGUAUGAACAUUAAAGAAAUUGAACAAUCAGGAGUGAUGUUUAAAAGGGAUAGAGAGCCUACUGGGAUAACAUCCACGAGUAGGUGAAACGGCGAAAUCAUCUCAAAUCAAGCAAGGAGACCCGCUGAAUUUAA
rnacentral:misc_RNA from 1 species